rnacentral:rRNA from 1 species
CGCUGGCGGCGUGCCUAACACAUGCAAGUCGAGCGGGAAUCUACAAAAAUGAAGCUUCGGCAGAUUUUUGUAGAGGAUAGCGGCGGACGGGUGAGUAACGCGUGAGUAACCUGCCCUUAAGAGGGGGAUAACACACCGAAAAGGUGUGCUAAUACCGCAUAACAUAUGUUUACCGCAUGGUAGACAUAUCAAAGAUUUAUCGCUUAAGGAUGGACUCGCGUCUGAUUAGAUAGUUGGUGAGGUAACGGCUCACCAAGUCGACGAUCAGUAGCCGAACUGAGAGGUUGAUCGGCCACAUUGGGACUGAGACACGGCCCAGACUCCUACGGGAGGCAGCAGUGGGGAAUAUUGCGCAAUGGGGGAAACCCUGACGCAGCAACGCCGCGUGAAGGAUGAAGGUCUUCGGAUUGUAAACUUCUGUCUUAUGGGAAGAAAAAGGACGGUACCAUAGGAGGAAGCCACGGCUAACUACGUG